GAUGAACGCUGGCGGCGUGCUUAACACAUGCAAGUCGAACGGAAAGGCCCAAGCUUGCUUGGGUACUCGAGUGGCGAACGGGUGAGUAACACGUGGGUGAUCUGCCCUGCACUUCGGGAUAAGCCUGGGAAACUGGGUCUAAUACCGGAUAGGACCACUUCUUGGAUGUUGUGGUGGAAAGUUUUUUCGGUGUGGGAUGAGCUCGCGGCCUAUCAGCUUGUUGGUGGGGUAAUGGCCUACCAAGGCGUCGACGGGUAGCCGGCCUGAGAGGGUGUACGGCCACAUUGGGACUGAGAUACGGCCCAGACUCCUACGGGAGGCAGCAGUGGGGAAUAUUGCACAAUGGGCGCAAGCCUGAUGCAGCGACGCCGCGUGGGGGAGGACGGCCUUCGGGUUGGAAACUCCUUUCGCUAGGGACGAAGCGUUUUGUGACGGUACCUGGAGAAGAAGCACCGGCUAACUACGUG
rnacentral:rRNA from 1 species